CCUACGGGUGGCAGCAGUGGGGAAUAUUGCACAAUGGGGGGAACCCUGAUGCAGCGACGCCGCGUGGGUGAGGAAGUACUUCGGUAUGUAAAGCCCUAUCAGCAGGGAAGAAAAUGACGUUACCUGACUAGGAAGCCCCGGCUAACUACGUGCAAGCAGCCGCGGUAACCCGUAGGGGGCAAGCGUUAUCCGGAUUUACCGGGUGUAAAGGGGGCGUAGACGGCGUGCCAAGUCUGAGGUGAAAGGCCGGGGCUCAACCCCGGGACUGCAUUGGAAACUGGCGUGCUGGAGUGCCGGAGGGGCAAGCGGAAUGACUAGUGUAGCGGUGAAAUGCGUAGAUAUAUGGAAGAACACCAGUGGCGAAGGCGGCCGCCUGGCCUGUUGCUGACGCUGAGGCACGAAAGCGUGGGGAGCAAAUAGGAUUAGAUACCCUAGUAGUC
rnacentral:rRNA from 1 species